UGGGGAAUAUUGGGCAAUGGAGGAAACUCUGACCCAGCAACGCCGCGUGAAUGAUGAAGGUCUUCGGAUUGUAAAGUUCUUUUCUAUGGGAAGAAGAAAGUGACGGUACCAUAGGAAUAAGCCUCGGCUAACUACGUGCCAGCAGCCGCGGUAAUACGUAGGAGGCAAGCGUUAUCCGGAAUGACUGGGCGUAAAGGGUGCGUAGGUGGUUUGGCAAGUUGGUAGCGUAAUUCCAGAGCUCAACUUUGGAACUACUACCAAAACUGUCGGACUUGAGUGCAGGAGGGGCAACUGGAAUUCCUAGUGUAGCGGUGGAAUGCGUAGAUAUUAGGAGGAACACCAGUGGCGAAGGCGAGUUGCUAGACUGUAACUGACACUGAGGCACGAAAGCGUGGGGAGCAAACAGG
rnacentral:rRNA from 1 species